UACGUAGGGUGCGAGCGUUGUCCGGAAUUAUUGGGCGUAAAGAGCUCGUAGGCGGUGUGUCACGUCGGCCGUGAAAACCUGCAGCUUAACUGUGGGCGUGCGGUCGAUACGGGCAUCACUGGAGUUCGGCAGGGGAGACUGGAAUUCCUGGUGUAGCGGUGAAAUGCGCAGAUAUCAGGAGGAACACCGGUGGGCGAAGGCGGGUCUCUGGGCCGAUACUGACGCUGGAGGAGCG
rnacentral:rRNA from 1 species